rnacentral:ncRNA from 1 species
CCCGAGAGUAGAAGCGUUCACUGCCUUGGUGCAUUGCCGCGGCAGCCGGAAAUUGCUCUUGAA